rnacentral:rRNA from 1 species
UACAGAGGGGGCAAGCGUUGUUCGGAAUUACUGGGCGUAAAGGGCGCGUAGGCGGCCUUCUAAGUCGAACGUGAAAUCCCCGGGCUCAACCCGGGAACUGCGUCCGAUACUGAAAGGCUUGAAUCCGGGAGAGGGAUGCGGAAUUCCAGGUGUAGCGGUGAAAUGCGUAGAUAUCUGGAGGAACACCGGUGGCGAAGGCGGCAUCCUGGACCGGCAUUGACGCUGACG